rnacentral:rRNA from 1 species
CUAUACGACCUAAAUACCCUAAAAUAACCAGAUUCCAUUUGAUCUUUGAAGCUAAGCAGGAUCAACUCUGGUUAGUACUUGCAUGGAAGACCACCAAUAAAAAGCAGGUGCUGUAGAUU